rnacentral:rRNA from 1 species
GACGAACGCUGGCGGCGUGCUUAACACAUGCAAGUCGAACGCUGAAGGCCUGGCUUUUGGUGGGUUGGGUGAGUGGCGAACGGGUGAGUAACACGUGAGUAACCUGCCCUCUUCUUUGGGAUAACGCCCGGAAACGGGUGCUAAUCCUGGAUAUUCACUGAUCUUCGCGUGGGGGUUGGUGGAAAGGGGUGUUCUGGUGGGGGAUGGGCGCGCGGCCUCUCGGCUUGUUGGUGGGGGUAUGGCCUACCAAGGCUGGGACGGGUAGCCGGCCUGGGGGGGUGACCGGUCACAUUGGGACGGCGCUACGGCCCAGACUCCUACGGGAGGCAGCAGUGGGGAAUAGUGCACGAGGGGCGAACGCCUUAUGCGGCGGCGCCGCGUGAGGGAGGGAGGCCUUCGGGUUGUAAACCUCUUUCGCUCAUGGUCAUGCCGUAACUGUGGGUUGUGGUGAGGGUAGUGGGUAAAGAAGCGCCGGCUAACUACGUG